rnacentral:tRNA from 1 species
GCCCCGUUGGCUCAGUGGUAACAGUGGUAAAGCGUAUCACUAGUAAUGAUAAGAUCACUGGUUCGAUUCCAGUACGGGGCA